rnacentral:rRNA from 1 species
GACAGAGGGGGCAAGCGUUGUCCGGAGUUACUGGGCGUAAAGGGCGCGGAGGCGGCCUGCGGCGUCGGCGCUGAACGCGCCCCGCUUAACGGGGCGAGGCGUGCCGAUACGCGCAGGUUCGAGGCGAGCAGAGGGUGGUGGAAUUCCGGGUGGAGCGGUGAAAUGCGUAGAGAUCCGGAGGAACGCCAGUGGGGAAGCCGGCCACCUGGGCUCGGCCUGUCGCUGCGGCGCGACAGCGUGGGGAGCAAACCGG